GAAAUGCGAUAAGUAAUGUGAAUUGCAGAAUUCAGUGAAUCAUCGAAUCUUUGAACGCACAUUGCGCCCUUUGGUAUUCCUUAGGGCAUGCCUGUUCGAGCGUCAUUUGUAACCUCAAGCUCAGCUUGGUGUUGGGUGUCUGUCCCCGCCCCGCGCGGGGACUCGCCUCAAAAACAUUGGCGGCCGGUACGUUGGCUUCGAGCGCAGCAGAAACGCGAACUCGAGGCCCGACGGAUCGGCGACCAGAAGUCACUUCUUCCACAGCUUGACCUCGGAUCAGGUAGGGAUACCCGCUGAACUUAAGC
rnacentral:misc_RNA from 1 species